GCGAGAAUCAACUUCUGAUCACACGCCCACAAGGUCCUCCACCCACCAUGAAUGGACACAUGUCAUUCAUUGGACACUGUGCAAACCAGGUGCACCAGAACCUGAGCGUGAGACACUCCUGUAGGCGAGACGUGAGAAAAGCGCACAGCGACGCUCCCACGGCAGUUUAUUAUGGAAACAAACCCAACACACAGGACUGUCCUGCGCUUAGCUUCAUGUCUAUACGAAAAAAGCGACUGCAAUCGCAAUGACUUUGACGAUGACUAUUAUGGGUUGUUACCGAAGAGGGCGGAGGCAACCCCCGGUUUGUGUUCCUCGCUUAAGGUCAAGCAUUCCGAAGCAAGGCCAACCUGACGACUUCUUCUUGGCCAAUAAUGCUGCAUUGCCAUGAACAACACAGCUCAUGAAAAAAAAAAAGAAAGAAAAAUGCAGUUGGAUCGCUCUGGGUUGCGCAAGCACUUUUGCUUUUAAAACAUCCAGACAACAUGACGAAAGAAUGUGAAGAAUGAGCCAACCGUGUGGUGCAAGGCUCAGUAACUGGAAGUAGUCAUUAGACUUAAAAGAGGAAACUGUUAACAAAAAAAAAAAAAAAAAUCAAGGUAUGCUUUUGUUUUGAAAAAAGCUUUUUAGACUUUCAUUAUCAACCCCAUCAAAGUGUCUGUAUAAGGUUGAAACAACUGUUGUGUGUGUUACUUUAGAGUUUUUUGAAAAAUUAUAAUGACUCUUUUGUUGUCUGCGCUGAAAUCUAGCGAGGCAGAAAUGAUAGCGGUUUCAGCAGUUUUUUUUUUUGUUUUUGACUUGUGUUUGUCGAAGCUGUUUCCAAUAUGUUAGCUGCCUCUUACGACCAUAAUAAUGGACACAUUGUUACAUUAAUAACAACGCAUUGUUGAAAACAGCUUGACCCAAACCGA